UUGUGUUAAGGAUAGAAGUGGCAUCCUUUUUAAAACUUAUAAAAACCAACUAUUGCUGUAACAACAGAACCGCAUUUACCACGAUACUUUGGCUUGUACUGUACUUGUUUUAAAAAGAUAUAACGGAUAGCCUGACUUUUG
rnacentral:sRNA from 1 species